rnacentral:rRNA from 1 species
AAUAUUCUCGACUGCAGCCUCCCGUAGGAGUUUGGGCAGUGUCUCAGUCCCAAUGUUGGGGGCCGUGCUCUCACACCCCCUACCCGUCAUAGCCUUGGUAGUCUUUUACACUACCAACAAGCUGAUAGGACACAGGCCGCUCCAAAAGCGAUAAAUCUUUACUCCGUAGAGCACAUCGCGUAUUAUUCCGCCUUUCGACGGAUUAUCCGCGACUUUUGGGAACGUUCCUAUGCAUUACUAACCCGUUUGCCGAGGGUCUAAACCCUCUCGACUUGCAUGCCUUAUCCACGCCGCCAGCGUUCAUCCUGAGCCAGGAUCAAACUCUAAUCACUAGUGAAUUCGCGGCCGCCUGCAGGUCGACCAUAUGGGAAGCUCCCAACGCGUUGGAUGCAUAGCUUGAGUAUCUAUAGUGUCAC